UCCUUAUUUAACUGGUCUGGAACCACCCUAGACUAGUAUAAUUUGGAUUAGAUUAGGUUCAAUUUAGGUUAAACUAACUUGAAUAAGUCAAUCAAUUUGGAAUCACCCUGAAUUGAUCUAGACUAAUCAAGCCUAGUUUAGUUCAAUCAAUACUUGGGCUCAAAUCCAACAAUAAUAUUGAGCUAGAUUAAGCCAACUC
rnacentral:lncRNA from 1 species